GGGUGGGGAUAAAGGACUAAGAAUUGGAAGGACCCAGGACAUCUAACUAGAGAGUGCCCAAGGAGGUUCAGCAUAGCCCUGCCAGCAAAGAUUAUUUAUUUACUUUAAGAGGGAGUUAAGAGUGGUGAUUUAGGGAUAGCACCAGUAGAUAUCAGCUGUGAUGGCUUGGAGAAACAGUGUAAACCAGCAGUGUAAACAAGAGCAGGGCAUUUAUGAGUAGUUGAGAACGGCGAAUAGGAGUAUGAUUAGACAGAAGAUAGUAGGGAUGACAAGUUUUGUUUUUUUUGCGGGGGGGAGGGCGCCGCAGUCCAACUUGGUCUGGUGUCUGGAAUGAGACUGGGGCCUAAUAAAAAGGAGCGUCUAUACAGGAGCUCAAAUGGGCUGUACCUUGUGGCAUUCUGAGGACAGGCCUGAAUUCUGAGGUCAAGUGGUAAAAGUAUUGUCCAGUCCUUUUUAAGUUGGUGGCUGAGCUUGGUGAGGUGUGUUUUUAAAAGACCAUUAGUUCACUGAAUAAGAGCUUGAGAAACUGCUUGGCUGAUUUGACUAAUAAAGGCUGGUCCGUUAUAGGACUGUAUAGAGGUGGGAAGGCCAAACCGAGGAAUUAUGUCUGACAGAAGGGAAGAAAUGACCGUGGUGGUCUUCUUAGACCCUGUGGGAAAGGCCUCUACCUAUCCAGUGAAAGUGUCUACCCAGAACAAGAGGCAUUUUAGUUUCCUGACUCGGGGUAUGUUGAGUAAAGCCAAUUUGCCAGCCCUGGGCGGGGGCAAAUCCUCACGCUUGAUGUGUAGGGAAAGGAGGGGGCCUGAAUAAUCCCUGAGGAAUAGUAGGAUAUCAGAUGGAACACUGAGA
rnacentral:lncRNA from 1 species